rnacentral:rRNA from 1 species
GACGUAGGGCGCGAGCGUUAUUCGGAAUUAUUGGGCGUAAAGGGCGCGUAGGCGGCCUUGUAAGUCAAAGGUGAAAUCCCUCGGCUCAACUGAGGAACUGCCUUUGAAACUGCAAGGCUUGAGGCCGGGAGGGGGUAGCGGAAUUCCCAAUGUAGCGGUGAAAUGCGUAGAUAUUGGGAGGGACACCAGUGGCGAAGGCGGCUACCUGGACCGGUUCUGACGCUGAGGCGCGAAAGCGUGGGGAGCAAACAGG